GUGUCCAUGACUGUAUAGAUUUUACACGUUAUAUAUUCUUUAUGUUUUUCAAUCGAAUGUCAAUAUAAUUGGGCUUCAUAUACUAAAUAAAUAGGCUAAAACCCUGUCGCAACAAUGUACAAAUAUCCUUUAUUAUAUGCAUUCUACUCUAUUAGACUUUAUUAUCAUAUAAAAUUAAUAACAUGUUAAAUUUUAUUAACAUUGUUAACGAUCGAAAGUGUAAAAAAUGUGGCGCACAACAAAUGUAAUUAACUAAAGAGUGAAAAAGAUAUUGUAGUUGUUUAAAUAUGGAUACAAAGUCAAGGGCGACACAAUAUUCUUUCCGAUGAAAUUAUAUCAUGCGAGCGUGUGCAUGUACAAAAAUAUCCAAAUUGUAGGAUACGUCAAAGGAUAUAAAUUAUAAUUGUACAUGGUCUAUUGAAACAGAUUGGAGAAAAUAGCAUUCAAAUAAUUAUAAAAUUAUUAAAAGCUAAAAAAAUCGGCAUCCAUGACGUCAUACGUAAGGAAAAAUCUACGUCAUGUCUGUGUAUAUCCGUGACGCACGUGCAAGAAACAGGGUGCUUCGAGCAAAAGUUGAUAAGGGCGAAAGUGCGUAUGUGUGUGCGCGCGGGGAUGAUGCGGCUUGACGCGGCUCGAUGCGACGCGCAAGCGCGACGGGUGCAGAGCUUUCGAGCCACGCGAUGGUAGCAGUUGGCCUUCUAAAACCGCGAAACGCGUCCCGCGUUCUCUCGAGGAAGAGUAUCGCGCGAGGCUAUCUCUAACAAUAAGCCACACUUUCCCCCCCGGUUUAUCGUGUACGUGCGCGUUUAGAGUAUCACAAUUCGCCGUCGAGACGUCCCCGAUCCGCGUCUCUAUUGUGACCUUUCUUCAGUCAACCUUCUCGCGUUCGUUCUCAUUUGACACUGACAUCCGACACACGCGUGUAUCAAAUCACGGCAACAUACCCGUACUACACUGUAGUCGCCUGUGUGACUUAAACGUCGUGACGGCGUGCAUCAACUGAAUCGCGAUCGAAUGCUGGCGAUCAGGGAAAGACCCUGACCUUGAAAAGUUCACGUGCAAACGGGAUAUGUUAGAUUAGAGGACAAUUAACGCGUGUUAACCGGCGAUAAUGCGUUAAUGGAGAACAACCGCGAUACCCGCUCGUAUUUUCUUCAGCGGAAGACUGUACGAUCAGUUUAUAAUACACAAAUGGUACAUAACGAUAUUUGAAAGAACGAUAAUCCUAGCCGAAUGAAAAUACUGCUGAAGAAAAUAGGAAAAAUCUAAACUUUUGACAUAUUAUCUCUCGAUUAUACCUGUGUGAUGAUUGAGUUUUCUACUUUAUUACGUUCUUUAGUAUUACGGCUGAAAAAGACACGUACCAAAUGCCCUGUAAUCAGAUAGAUAAACAAGUUGAUAAAGUUUAAUUAAACUUUAUAAGACAUAAUCAAAUCAUAGAAUGACAACUUAGCAAGUAAAAUUCGACAGCAAUCUCAUUAAAAAUUGUAAUGAUUCGAAACAUCUUACAGUCAGUGAAACGAGAUGAGAGGACAGACGAAAAUGAAAAAUCUCGCAAAUGUAUACGCAAUGCCGAUGCCCUGACGUUUAGUCGCCUAGGGAAAAUUAAAAAGGUCAAGAGCGUCUUGGACAAUCACACGUCAGGGUGAUUACGGUUGAAAGACCGUCGUAGUAAUACGGCUGCGCACGGUAAAACAUGAAUGACAGCGAGAUUUAUCUAUUGAAUUGGGAAGAAGAGGUACACGCAUUAAACAACGAUCUUGGCAGGAGCUUUUAUAACGCGAGCUAUCCACCAUUUAAUCAUACCUAUGAGGAUCUCUGGGAACUUGCUUCAGAUCGAAUCGGUCUCGCGAUCGUUUUAUUGCUCUUCUCCGUAGCUACCGUUUUCGGCAACUCGUUAGUGAUCCUCGCGGUAUUUCGAGAGAGGCAUCUGCACACAGCUACAAACUACUUUGUGACUUCGUUGGCUUGCGCCGAUUGCCUGGUAGGACUGGUAGUGAUGCCAAUUAGCGCGAUAUACGAGGUAUUGGAGAACCGUUGGCUAUUCACGACGGACUGGUGCGAUGUUUGGCGCUCGCUCGAUGUUCUCUUCUCCACCGCAUCUAUUCUAAACUUGUGUGUUAUUAGUCUGGAUCGCUACUGGGCAAUUACCGAUCCCUUCACGUAUCCGACUCGAAUGAGUAGAAAACGCGCGGCUAUCCUAAUCGCCAUCGUAUGGAUUUGCUCGAGUGCGAUCUCCUUUCCUGCAAUAGCGUGGUGGCGUGCCGUUCGUACUGAGCAAGUGCCGAAAGACAAGUGUCCCUUUACGGAGAAUCUCGGUUACCUGAUAUUCUCGUCGACAAUCAGUUUUUACCUGCCGCUAUUUGUGAUGGUAUUCACGUAUUACAGAAUCUAUCGCGCCGCCGUAAUACAGACGAGGAGUCUAAAACUCGGCACAAAGCAGGUGAUGAUGGCCUCGGGCGAGCUCGAACUCACGCUGAGGAUACAUCGAGGCGGUGCCACCAACACCGACGCUAGACACCUUUUUCGCACCGCCUCGAGCACACCCGAAGAUCUCCAAGAUCUCGAGGAACCGUUAACGGCUCUUCACAACAAUGGUCUCACCAGAGUGCCCUCCGUGAGGAUCAACAAUAAACAACAUCUAGGCCAGACCAAAAAUUUCUCUCUCUCGCGUAAACUCGCCAAAUUCGCCAAGGAGAAAAAGGCGGCAAAGACCCUUGGUAUCGUUAUGGGUGUAUUUAUUAUUUGUUGGCUGCCGUUCUUCGUUGUGAAUCUAUGGUCGGGAUUCUGCACCAGGUGCAUAUGGCAGGAAGAAAUCGUAUCUGCGGCCGUCACUUGGCUCGGCUGGAUUAACAGUGGAAUGAAUCCCGUGAUAUACGCUUGCUGGAGCAGAGAUUUUCGUAGAAAACAAUACGUUUGGGAGAAUUUCUUAUUAAAUUAACGAGAAAACCUUUCUGGAGGAUGAUGUAAUUAAAAGUUUCUACAAGGAUACAGAGGAUGCGGAAUGCAAGAAUGAAAGAAGAAAGGAAAACAAGCAAUAUUCUAUUAGCUGGUGGACUGAGCAAAACUAGGUCACCAAUCUCGUAAACGUAAAGACAUUCCGAAUUCAGGAAUGACCGAUUUUCCGUUAUUGUUCCGCAAAUAAUCGUCCAUGUUUCGUUCUUCAAAUAAUAUAUGUACUUUCCCUUUUCUAUCUGACAUGUGAUACGGCCAGUAUAAAUUUGUAUGCAGUAGCAACAUUUUACAAGAAAUAAGAUAACUUAUAAUAUAUACAUUACAAUAAAAUUGGAAAUAAUUUCAUUUCGCUGUUAAUUACAUUGAUUCAUAAUUGUGAUUCAUAAUUGUGUAUUCUGAUAAGAUCACAAUUAAGAAGCAUUGCGCGUUUUAUUUAUUGCAUUGAACUUUAUUGUUGAAAAACCAAGAUAACUAUAGCGAUCAAUAGCUAUAAUAAAAAUCUAGGUCUUUCAUUAUUUUCAUUCAACAUAGACUAAAGUGCAAUUAGGAACGCAGACAUUAUAUUACGAGAUGCAACAGUGAACUCAACCCAUAAAAAGAGUGAAAAAAAUAAAAAUAUUUCAUAGCAAAGUGCUUUUGUAUGAUAGUAUAGAAGAGAUACAGUUUAGUUUGUCACUUUUUAUAGUUUGAAGCACUCCUUAUGUUAUACGUUUACUCUAUAACUCUUUAUAAAAUCAAUAAAUCAAUAAUAUCUAGUCCAUCAAAAUUGUACGUAUAUAAUCGAGAGUUAAACUAUGCAAUUUAUUUAGUUUUUUUUAAAAUAAAUACAGAUAAAUUCAUAUCGUUAUAUCUUGAAUGAGUUAAAAGUAUGCCAAGGUCUUGUUAAGUAAUUGACUUUUCCUUAACGAGUCCUUUUGU